UCGAAGGGCGCAUGGGGGAUGCCUUGGCUCUCGGAGGCGAGGAAGGACGUGACAAGCUGCGAUAAGCCACGGCGAGGGGCAAAUACCCAUUGACCCGUGGAUCUCCGAAUGGGGC
rnacentral:rRNA from 1 species